rnacentral:rRNA from 1 species
UACAGAGGUGGCAAGCGUUGUUCGGAAUUACUGGGCGUAAAGGGCGCGUAGGCGGUGUGUCAAGUCAGGCGUGAAAGCCCCGGGCUCAACCUGGGAACCGCGCCUGAGACUGGCACGCUCGAGUUCGGGAGAGGAUGGUGGAAUUCCCAGUGUAGAGGUGAAAUUCGUAGAUAUUGGGAAGAACACCGAUGGCGAAGGCAGCCAUCUGGACCGACACUGACGCUGAGGCGCGAAAGCGUGGGGAGCAAACAGG